UACGUAGGGUGCAAGCGUUGUCCGGAAUUAUUGGGCGUAAAGAGCUCGUAGGCGGUUUGUCGCGUCUGCUGUGAAAACCUAAGGCUCAACCUUGGGCUUGCAGUGGGUACGGGCAGACUAGAGUGCGGUAGGGGUGACUGGAAUUCCUGGUGUAGCGGUGGAAUGCGCAGAUAUCAGGAGGAACACCGAUGGCGAAGGCAGGUCACUGGGCCGCAACUGACG
rnacentral:rRNA from 1 species